rnacentral:rRNA from 1 species
UACGUAGGGGGCAAGCGUUGUCCGGAUUUAUUGGGCGUAAAGCGCUCGCAGGUGGUUCGUCGCGUCGUGUGUGAAAGACCCCGGCUCAACUGGGGAGGGUCAUGCGAUACGGGCGGACUGGAGGCCAGUAGGGGGAUGCGGAAUUCCGGGUGUAGUGGUGGAAUGCGUAGAGAUCCGGAGGAACACCAGCGGCGAAGGCGGCAUCCUGGACUGGUCCUGACACUCAGGAGCGAAAGCGUGGGGAGCGAUCCGGAUUAGAAACCCCCGUAGUCC